rnacentral:lncRNA from 1 species
GGAGCUCCCAGAGGCGGUGGCGGGGGCGCCAGGGGGCGUCCUCCCAGCCCCGGGGACCGGACUGUGCACCUGGUGGCUGCAGGAGCUGCACUGUGGACUCCCCGGCCAGAUGGAAGCUUUCAGGUCCUUCAUUCCAGAGUUGACUGCCCAUCCAGCUCUUGAGCCCUCGGGACCCGUGCUCAGUUUUAUGAACUGAAGGCUUGGCCAGCAGUUGAUUUCUACAGGAUCCAAAGCACAUUGAUUGAGAGUUUGAAACACUGGACUGUAUCAUUUACUCCUGAAAUUGUUUCUCCAUCCCUCUGCCAUCAGCAACUGACUCCAUCUUGCAUACAGUUGCCCAUGAUUCAGUUGAGAAAAUGUCUAACUAUGUUCAUCUCAAGCCUCAUGCUUAUUUUUUAAUCCUUGUCAUUUGGUUUUCAAAGCAGUUUGUUAUUGAGGUAGGACUGGGGAGGGGGGUUGCCCAAGAUAUGCACAUUAUAUAUGAGAGUGAGAAAGAAUUUCUAAUUGAAUUCCAUCUACUUUACUCUGUUGAAGGUUAUGAAAAACAAUGAAGUGCUCUCUUUCUAGGAUAAUAACAGGUAUGGUUAAGUUUAUUCCCUUUGUCUCCUGAAUUUACUAGGAUUCUGAAGUAGAAAAAAGUGUAUCUUUUGAUCACUUAUAAACAUUUUUAGGAGUUCCCGUCGUGGUGCAGUGGUUAACGAAUCCGACUAGGAACCAUGAGGUUGCGGGUUCGGUCCCUGCCCUUGCUCAGUGGGUUAACGAUCCGGUGUUGCCAUGAGCUGUGGUGUAGGUCACAGACGCGGCUCGGAUCCUGCGUUGCUGUGCCUCUGGCGUAGGCCGGUGGCUACAGCUCCGAUUCGACCCCUAGCCUGGGAACCUCCAUAUGCCGUGGGAAUGGCCCAAGAAAAUAGCAAAAAAAAAAGACAAAAAAAAACAAACAAAAAACAACAUUUUUAAAUUGGUCAGUGAAAGCUAAAUAACACAAAUCAUUAACUUCACCUCCAGAAAGUUCAGACUCAAGUAUUUAAUGUACAAUUGUAAUAUCUCACUCCAGUGUUGCUUAGAUGCAACUCUCCUCCCUCUAUUGUUCCUGGGUUUAUUAAAAUGAAUUUGAGAUAAAUUUGCUAGUUCCUAGAACUAUUCAUGUUUCUAUGUUCUUUUGCAUUCAUUCCUUGUUCAACCAUUUACAAAUUUUCAUAAGGCUUUUAUUUGGAGUUCUGCUUUUCUUAAUUUAGAUAAAUAUUAUAACCUUGACAUAUUUUAUGUCUCAACUAUAUGGUUUAUAUAUAUGUUAGUGGGGGGGAAAUCCCUCCUUUAUGAAAGUAGGAUGUGUAUAAAACAUAGUCAUCCUUAGGUA